rnacentral:rRNA from 1 species
UACGGGGGGGAGCAAGCGUUGUUCGGAAUUACUGGGCGUAAAGCGCACGCAGGCGGUCUUGUAAGUUUGACGUGAAAGCUCCCGGCUUAACUGGGAGAGGUCGUUGAAGACUGCAAGACUUGAGGAAAUGAGAGGGGUGUAGAAUUCCCGGUGUAGUGGUGGAAUGCGUAGAUAUCGGGGGGAAUACCAGUGGCGAAAGCGGCACCCUAGCAUUUUUCUGACGCUCAUGUGCGAAAAGCGUGGGGGAGCGAACGGG